GCAUUAGUAGUUCAGUGGUAGAAUUCUUGCCUUCCAUGUGGGAAACCUGAGUUCGGUUCCCAGCCAGUAUA
rnacentral:tRNA from 1 species